rnacentral:rRNA from 1 species
UACCAGCGGUUCAAGUUGCAACCAACUUUAUUGGGUCUAAAACAUCCGUAGCUUGUUUAUUAAGUUCCUUGUGAAAUCUCAUGUCUCAAGCAUGAGGCGGGCAGGGAAUACUGAUAAACUAGAGACCGGUAGGUGUAAGGAGUACAACUGAGGUAGCGGUUAAAUGUGUUAAUCUUGGUUGGACUAACAAUUAGCGAAGGCACCUUACAAGGACGGAUCUGACAGUGAGGGAUGAAGGCCAGGGGCGCAAAACGGAUUAGAUACCCCUGUA